UACGGGGGGGGCAAGCGUUGUUCGGAAUUACUGGGCGUAAAGGGCUCGUAGGCGGCCAACUAAGUCAGACGUGAAAUCCCUCGGCUUAACCGGGGAACUGCGUCUGAUACUGGAUGGCUUGAGUUCAGGAGAGGGAUGUGGAAUUCCAGGUGUAGCGGUGAAAUGCGUAGAUAUCUGGAGGAACACCGGUGGCGAAGGCGGCAUCCUGGACCGACACUGACGCUGAUGAGCGAAAGCCAGGGGAGCAAACAGG
rnacentral:rRNA from 1 species